UUUUUUUUUUCAUUUUAAUUAACACUUUACAAAGUACAAAAUAUACUGUCUUUUUUGGGGGAACAUUAGGUAAUUUUUUUUCUCCAACAUACAGUACAUGAAUCUCGAGGGUUUUGUGUUUCUUCAACAAGAAAAUAAGCUUGAGGGCCCCGGGGGGGUAGGGAUAAGAUGGCAGGUUCUCCCCUUCACCCAGAUCUUGGGAGCGAUGGAACGCCGCUGCUGCUGCUGGUGACCCGGGCACGCCAGGUGAGGGUUGGAGGGGGUUGUGGGCAGGAAGUCCCCUGCCCCCACUACGAUGGUGGGGGCUCUGGGCAGGGCAGAGGCCCCUCAGUACACCAUCCAUCCACUCACCCCCAUCUCAGGAUAACGGAAAUGAUUUUGGCAUAGAGAAAGAGGAGGGCUUGGGACUGUUAUCAGCUCCCUACUCUUUUAGAGGGAACUCUGCUCAACUCUUCCUAGACUGUCUUCUGAAUACAGGUAAACUGAGGCAGUGGAAGGGAAACCGCACUGGCCUUGGCCUGUCUUGGGACCUGAACUUGGCCUGCUGUUCACCCUGCCACCUCCAAAGUUUGGGUGAGGGGCAGGGGUCUCCAAUUCUUCUGGACCUUCUUCCAGAAUGAGCCCCAGUAGAUGAGGGAGUGCCGGCCCCCACAAACUCUCCCUGUGAACACCAUCUGCAGGAUGGGAUGCCUUUGAAGAGUCAGCACGGGCAGCCCCAGCCCCUUCCAAUCAGAGCUGGGCUGUAUCAAACCAGAGCAUGGUGGAGGCAACGGCGUGUGAAUUCUGAGGCUAGGGAUAAAAAUAACACGUUGGCUUUUACCCUGGGCCCUUGAAUCUCUUGCUCUGGGGGGAAGCCGAGCGCCAUAUUGUGAAGACACUCAAGCAGCCCUGUGGGUUGGCCCACCUGGGGAAGGACUGAGGCCUCCUGCCUACAGCCAGGCCUCACUUAGAAGUGCAUCCUCCAAUCCUUAGCUAAGAUUUCAGACAACAGCAACCUCAUGAAUGACCCUGAGCCAGAACUGCUCAAACUGUUCCUGACACCUUUGCCCCCCUCCAGAGUAGUUCUGACAAGUGGGGUGAGGCCGUCCUACCAGAGACGCCCCACCCUCUCCCCUGGAGCCAGGGUCUGCAUUCGAGUCCUGCCCUCACUCACCUAAUCAUUUCUGCACUCAAGGCCUGACAACAAGACUGCUACUGAGAACUCAAAAUACUCCAAGAGCCAGUCCCAUAUCUCAGGUGUGGGCUCUGCACACGUGCACGCACACACUCUAAUGCAUAGGAACACAUCCACGCUCACAGGUACAUGCACAAACGUGUGCAUAAACACACCUAGGCCUGCACCCCCACUCCUAGCACACAGGCCACCCUGCACUUCCAAUUUCCAUAGCUCCUCUUCCCUUAUAGUGACAGCCACAAGCUCUCUCGGCCACCAGGCUGUCCCUGGAUGCCAUGGCUCAGGCCUCAGGCUCCUGCCUCUGCUCCAGGCUGCUCCUGGCUGGCUUCCUUCCCUGGGGCCUCUUUCGUUAUUUUCUUGUAGAGGCAGGGUCUUGCUAUGUUGACCAGGUUGGUCUUGCUAUCUUGGCCUCAAGCUAUCCUCCCACCUUGGUCUCCCAAAGUGGGCGGAUCACCUGAGGUCAGGAGUUCAAGAACAGCCUGGCCAACAUAGUGAAACCCUGUCUCUACUAAAAAUACAAAAAUUAGCCGAGCGUGGUGGUGGGUGCCUGUAAUCCCAGCUACUUGGGAGGCUGAGGCAGGAGAAUCACUUGAACCUGGGAAGCAGAGGUUGCAGCGAACCGAGAUCGCACCACUGCACUCCAGCCUGUCUCAAAAAAAAAAAAAAAAAAAGAUCCCCCCAUUGCAGGGCUGAGGUGCUCUUGCCCUAAAGCCCCCUCUCUUAGCUGGGGCUGGGAAAAGCCCUGGUUGUCACCACAUCCAGAUCUCUAGGCUCAGAAAGGGGCCCAGGGUGGCCUUAGGACUCCCCAGGGUAUCCCUGGAAAAUGUGGCCAGGAGGAGGGGGCCAGUGGGAGGUGGCCUGUGUUCACCUUUGAAGAUCACCAAAUAGUGCCCUGGGCUUUAACAGGGGCCUGGCCCUUCCUGUCUUCCCAGUCUUCUCUCCUGACCUCCAGGGCAUCCUCUGUCACCUCAGAGGGGCAAGCCCCUCCAGACCAAGCCUCCUCCUGCUGAACAAAUGUCACCCUGGCUACGCUGCUGCUUCCGGAGGCCACACUGGAAGCCUCUGAUCCCCCAGCUCCUUCCUUUCCCACCAGCAGCCUGGUGCCUGGAGGUGAGAGGAGGUGAGAAUGCCAGUGGUUUGGAGUGAGGCUUUGGGUCCCCGCCUCUGAAUCUUGGGGAGGGGAAGCUACCAGGGUCAGGCCUGCAAGCCUCUCCAGCUCAGAUGCAUGCCUCGGGCUGAGGACAGUGGUGUGGGCAGUGCCCCUUGAAGGAGGGCGGUCCUGGAGAUGCCCAUGGAGGAAGGAGGUGCAGAGUCAGCAAUGCCCAGAUCUUUGCUGGGUUAGGACGACGGGCUGAGGGAGGAAGGGGUGUCUUGGGAACCAGGGGAGCCCCACGACGAGGCAGAACUUAUCAGUGGCAGGGAGGGGUGGUCACUGCUCUGUUCCUCCCCAUCCUUCAGCUCCCACUGGUACUCUGAGUGCAGCAAGGGGAGAGGGUGGGGUUGAGACUAUCUGAGCUUUUCUUAAUGGAGAACCACACAGGGGCCAAGACACACACUCCAGGAGCUCAAGUGGCAGCCCCAGGGUCACCUGCUCACCCCUAGAAAUUCCAUGAGGCCGGGCACGGUGGCUCAUGCCUGUAAUCCCAGCACUUCGGGAGGCCAAGGUGGGUGGAUCACUUGAGGUCAGGAGUUCAAGACCAGCGUGGCCAACAUGGUGAAACCCCGUCUCUACCAAAAAUACAAAAAUUAGCCGCGUGUGGUGGUGAGUGCCUGUAAUCUCACCUACUUGGGAGGCCAAUGUAGGAGACUCGCUUGAACCCAGGAAGUGGAGGUUGCUGCAGUGAGCUGAGAUCAUGCCACAGCACUCCAGCCUGGGCGACAGAGCAAGACUCCGUCUCAAAAAAAAAAAAAAAAAAAUUCCACAUCAUAGAGAGCCCUCUUCCUCCCCCGCCAGGCACCUGCCCCAUCCGCCAGCGCCAAGACAACAGGCCCACUCCUCUGAUUACCUCCGGGGGAUGGACGGCAAACAGGUAAGGAGUUCCAUGCAACUGCGGAUGGAGCCCCUCUGAGAAACACAUGCCCCUCCAAGUGGGGUCUGGGGCCUGGAGAGACCCUCCCACCCAGCAGACCAGGAGAUAGCUGGGGGACAAGGGCAGACGGCCCCUGCCUGGGAAAAACCACACUCACACCCCACCCCGAAGAGCUGUGGAGACCAAACCAAGACUACGCUACACACAGAACGCCGAGAAGAUAAACCAAGCUUUACACGAGCAGGAUGGGGAUGGGAAAACUAAAGGGGCCCCCUGUGACCGAGGAGCAGGGUCCCCAGGGGGCAGCUCCCACGGAGCGGGCUUGAACAGGGACCACCCCUGCAGAGCCAGCCAGGGCGGAGAGCCAUACCCUGGCCCCAGCGCGCCCCGACACACAUGCUUUUCUCCAUGACACGAGGCCAGUCCCCAGGAGCAGCCCCAGGAGCACAACCUGAGAUUUCUAAGCUUGCAGGUUACAAAAAACAAAAAAAACAGAGAAGCUGCCUGCGUAAAAAGUGCCACCCACGGAGGCAGGACACAGGCAGCGUGUGGCCCAUUCAGCAGGCCCAGGUCUUCAGGGUGAGGCUGCUGGCGAGGGCAGGGGAGAGGGGGCAUUCUGGUUAAAAGCAAGAAAUUCCAAAUACUCCUCCCUCGGGAUCAACAUCCCCCCAAAUAAGGGCGCCCAGGGAUCUUGCCUGGGGAAAGUGGGGUGCAGAAGGCAUGACCCACGCCACAGCGGGCUCUCAGCACCCUUCCCACGUCCCAUGUCACAGGCUCUUUGAGCUGCUGGCUUUGUUCUCUCAAGUCAGGUCUGAGGGAACCCAUCGGCUUCUGUAAUAAUCGUAUUGCCUAUAUACUUGAAUUAAAAAUAUAUGGUGGCUCAAAUGUGCCCGCGUGUAUGGCAGACGGUGCGGGGUGGAGGCCAUCACGCCCAUACACGUGUGCACACACAGCGGGGGGCUGUGUCCACGGACUGCGCACACAGUAUAUAUUAACAUAUAUAUUGCUCAAGUAUAUAUGCUAUUUACAGUAUAUAUCUCUAUCAACAUAAAACACAGGUAUUUAUAGGUGUGUACAAUAGAUACGUCCUAGGAAGUCUAGGGGACACACGACUCUGGGGUCACGGGGCCGACACACUUGCACGGCGGGAAGGAAAGGCAGAGAAGUGACACCGUCAGGGGGAAAUGACAGAAAGGAAAAUCAAGGCCUUGCAAGGUCAGAAAGGGGACUCAGGGCUUCCACCACAGCCCUGCCCCACUUGGCCACCUCCCUUUUGGGACCAGCAAUGUACGAGUUUUGUUCUGGAGUUUUGUGCAAAACAAAUUAACUUAAAAAAAAAAAAGUUGGUUUCUAAUUAAUGUGGUGGGCCUUCAACACCCACAAGGAUUUUAAAGAACAGCUUCUCCUUCUGGUGGGCUUCCAGGGCUCAGAGGGUCCCACUCAGAGAAGCAGGGAACACUUUGUCAGGACUAGAAAAUAUCCCUUCUCCUCUGACCACAGAAACAGCACAACUCGGCUGGGUGUGGUGGCUCACGCCUGUAAUCCCGGCAUUUUGGGAGGCCGAGGCAGGCGGAUCACUUAACUCAGGAGUUCAAGACCAGCCUGAGCAAUGUUACGAAAUCCCGUCUCUAUUAAAAAAUACAAUAACUAGCCAGACGUGGUGGUGCGUGCCUGUAAUCCCAGCUACUUGGGAGGCCGAGGCAGGAGAAUCACUUGAACCUGGGAGGAGGAGGGUGUAGUGAGCCAAGAUCGUGCCACUGCAUUCCAGCCUAGGCAACAGAGCCAGACUCCCAUCUCAA
rnacentral:lncRNA from 1 species